rnacentral:rRNA from 1 species
GACGAACGCUGGCGGCGUGCUUAACACAUGCAAGUCGAGCGAGAGAAAUCCCUUCGGGAAGGACUCUAGCGGCGGACGGGUGAGUAACACGUGGGUAACCUGCCUCAUAGAGGGGAAUAGCCUUUCGAAAGGAAGAUUAAUACCGCAUAAGAUGGUAGUAUCGCAUGAUGCAGCAAUUAAAGGAGUAAUCGGCUAUGAGAUGGACCCGCGUCGCAUUAGCUAGUUGGUGAGGUAACGGCCCACCAAGGCGACGAUGCGUAGCCGAGCUGAGAGAGUGAUCGGCGACAUUGGGACUGGGACACGGCCGAGACUCCUACGGGAGGCAGCAGUGGGGAAUAUUGCACAAUGGGGGAAACCCUGAUGCAGCAACGCCGCGUGAGUGAUGACGGUCUUCGGAUUGUAAAACUCUGUCUUCAGGGACGAUAAUGACGGUACCUGAGGAGGAAGCCCCGGCUAACUACGUGCCAGCCGCCGCAGUAA